CCUACGGGAGGCAGCAGUCGAGAAUCAUUCACAAUGGGGGAAACCCUGAUGGUGCGACGCCGCGUGGGGGAAUGAAGGUCUUCGGAUUGUAAACCCCUGUCAUGUGGGAGCAAAUUAAAAAGAUAGUACCACAAGAGGAAGAGACGGCUAACUCUGUGCCAGCAGCCGCGGUAAUACAGAGGUCUCAAGCGUUGUUCGGAAUCACUGGGCGUAAAGGGUGCGUAGGCUGUUUCGUAAGUCGUGUGUGAAAGGCGCGGGCUCAACCCGCGGACGGCACAUGAUACUGGGAGACUAGAGUAAUGGAGAGGGAACCGGAAUUCGCGGUGUAGCAGUGAAAUGCGUAGAUAUCGAGAGGAACACUCGUGGCGAAGGCAGGUUCCUGGACAUUAACUGACGCUGAGGCACGAAGGCCAGGGGAGCGAAAGGGAUUAGAUACCCGGGUAGUC
rnacentral:rRNA from 1 species